UACGAAGGGUGCAAGCGUUAAUCGGAAUUACUGGGCGUAAAGGGUGCGUAGGCGGUUCGUUAAGUCUGUUGUGAAAUCCCCGGGCUCAACCUGGGAAUGGCAAUGGAUACUGGCUAGCUAGAGUGUGUCAGAGGAUGGUGGAAUUCCCGGUGUAGCGGUGAAAUGCGUAGAGAUCGGGAGGAACAUCAGUGGCGAAGGCGGCCAUCUGGACCAGCACUGACACUGAGGCACGAAAGCUAGGGGAGCAAACGGG
rnacentral:rRNA from 1 species